rnacentral:rRNA from 1 species
CAGGAUGAACGCUGGCGGCGUGCUUAACACAUGCAAGUCGAACGAAGCACUGAAGAAUGGAGAUUCGUCAAAGUUCUCUUGACUGAGUGGCGAACGGGUGAGUAAUGCGUGAGCAACCUGCCCUUCAGAGGGGGACAACAGUUGGAAACGACUGCUAAUACCGCAUGAUGUGUUUGGAUGGCAUCGUCUGAACACCAAAGGAGAAAUCCGCUGAGGGAUGGGCUCACGUCUGAUUAGCUUGUUGGCAGGGUAACGGCCUACCAAGGCGACGAUCAGUAGCCGGACUGAGAGGUUGAACGGCCACAUUGGGACUGAGAUACGGCCCAGACUCCUACGGGAGGCAGCAGUGGGGAAUAUUGGGCAAUGGGCGAAAAAGCCUGACCCAGCAACGCCGCGUGAAGGAAGAAGGCCUUCGGGUUGUAAACUUCUUUUAACAGGGACGAAGAAGUGACGGUACCUGUUGAAUAAGCCACGGCUAACUACGUGCCAGCAGCGGC